AACUCAACCUAUUAUGGAUCUAACAUUACAAUGACUAAAGUGUGCAAGGUGAGGCAAUGUGCUGCUGAAGAUACUCAGAUCCAUCGACUACCAGGAGAGGGGAGGAAGAUGUAGACUACAGUCUAUGGCUCAAACCAUUUGCAGCAGAAAAAUGAAGCGUAUCCUUUAACUGGGCAGAGAAGCCAUCCUGAGCAGCAGAGUACAGAUGCAGUGACUCAUGCCUAUAAUCCCAGUACUUUGGGAGGUUAAGGCGGAAGGAUCCAUUGAGGCCAGGAGUCCAAGACCAGCCUGCACAACAUAGCAAGACUCCUUCUCUACAAAAAAUUAAAAAUUAGCCAGGCAUGGUCGUGCACGCCUGUAGUUUCAGCUACUCAAGAGGCUGAGGUACAGGAUCGCUUGACCCUGGAGGUCAAGGCUGCAGUGAGCUGUGAUCAUGGCACUGCACUCCAGCCUGGGUGACAGAGCAAGACCUUAUCUCGAAAAACAAAAAUUUAAAAAGAUAUCGGGUAGCUCACAGAAUUGUUGAGAGGGCUUUAAAACUAGCCUUGAACUUAAACAGCAACGAUCAACCACCCACAAAACUGACACAAUGAAGAAGUUGGCUAGUGUUACUAACUGUCCUGGGUUUUUUUUGGUGACUCUGUAGUUUCCAAGGAUUCCGAUCCUUCCAUGCCAAAAUCUGAAAAGUGCUGGGCAAAAUAUGACUGAUAAUGUGGUAAUCUUACAGCUAGCGUCAGAGACAUCAAGCACUAGACAACACAAUUUGCCCUUUGGCCACUUGUACAAUGGGAACUCACGCUUGCAGUAACCUCUACUGCCACUAGGAGAGAGAGAGAGAAAGAGAAAGAGAAGGAGGAAGGGAGGAGAGAGAGAGGAAAAAAACUGUUGCUUGUCUCCUCAGCUCUAAGUCAAUGGUCUAACCCAGAUGUCUGGCUGAAAAGCCUAGGUCACAUGCCUGCACCGCAGAGAAAGUAUGUGACAUCUUCUGCUUUCAUUAUGGGGGACAGCCUUUGCUUGUGACGAAGAUUUACAUGGUGAGACAUAUCCUAAACAUAGGGAAGCUGUUGAAGUGGCACAAAUAAUGACCGAUUUCUACUAAUUUGUACUAAUAUCCAAAUUACUUUUAAUUCUCUAAUAUUACUUAAACACAGUGAGGCAAACAUUCAUUGGAUAUAUAGUGGUUUCUUUGAUUUCAAAAUAUUUUUUUUAUGUAAUAGAUGUCUGAAGACCAUCAAAAUUAAUUCUUAAAGUCAGAUUAAUAGAAUGUUACUUAUAAUAUUAUUGUAAUUAUUUUGCCACAUAAUAGUUUACACCUGUUAUAUACUAUGCAAUUGUAUGAUGGAAAUAAUACUGUACUUUGUUU
rnacentral:lncRNA from 1 species